UACGAAGGGGGCUAGCGUUGCUCGGAAUCACUGGGCGUAAAGCGCACGUUAGGCGGCUUUUUAAGUCAGAGGUGAAAUCCUGGAGCUCAACUCCAGAACUGCCUUUGAUACUGGAGAGCUUGAGUCCGGGAGAGGUGAGUGGAACUGCGAGUGUAGAGGUGAAAUUCGUAGAUAUUCGCAAGAACACCAGUGGCGAAGGCGGCUCACUGGCCCGGUACUGACGCUGAGGUGCGAAAGCGUGGGGAGCAAACAGGG
rnacentral:rRNA from 1 species